AUUGAACGCUGGCGGCAUGCCUUACACAUGCAAGUCGAACGGCAGCACGGGAGCAAUCCUGGUGGCGAGUGGCGAACGGGUGAGUAGUACAUCGGAACGUGCCUAGUAGUGGGGGAUAGCCCGGCGAAAGCCGGAUUAAUACCGCAUACGACCUGAGGGUGAAAGCGGGGGAUCGCAAGACCUCGCGCUAUCAGAGCGGCCGAUGCCAGAUUAGGUAGUUGGUGGGGUGAAAGCCUACCAAGCCGACGAUCUGUAGCUGGUCUGAGAGGACGACCAGCCACACUGGGACUGAGACACGGCCCAGACUCCUACGGGAGGCAGCAGUGGGGAAUUUUGGACAAUGGGCGCAAGCCUGAUCCAGCCAGGCCGCGUGCAGGAAGAAGGCCUUCGGGUUGUAAACUGCUUUUGUCAGGGAAGAAAAGUUCUGGGCUAAUACCCCGGAGCGAUGACGGUACCUGAAGAAUAAGCACCGGCUAACUACGUGCCAGCCGCCGCAGUAA
rnacentral:rRNA from 1 species